UCUGCCUACAACAGGUGCGGAGACCUAAUCAGCAGGAGAACAAGUCUACACCUCUGAGAAUCCUCCUCCAUUGCAUCCACCUGACUGGACAUGACCCAAAAUGAAAGAGGAUUAUCCAUGGAUAACUCUGAUGCAGUAUGAUCUCUUACAGGAUGUGUUCACUAAGCAGUUUUGCAUAGUGCUCAGGGUGAUUUCUUUUGAGGUAAACAUCCAUUUUUCCUUUAACUCGCUGAUCUCCAGUAAGCCCUGUGAAGAAGAAGAGAAAAAGGUAUUCACUACUUCACAGUGCAGCCUGCUCAUCUCCUCCCUCUGAUAUGAGGACUUCUAUCUCCCCCACAUGAUAGCCAAAGUCAGCCUGGUCCAGAUCGAUCUGCACGCCCUCCUCCUUUAAAGUAAACGAGCGCCGUGCUGUUGUAAACUCUGCAAAGCACACCAGGUCCAGUUUGCUCAGCCACGACUCAUCUUCCUGUGAGAAGCCCGCCUCUGACUCUCUGUCCUGUUUUAUGACCUCUUUGACUCUCAGGUGAAUUUCAGGCAGGCUGGUUAUCUCCUUGUAACGGGUGCACAGCGAUGCUGCUGCUUCACCCUGCUUCCCGCUCUGUGCUUCCGCUGUCGGGCACUUGAGCUCCCAGCAUCCUUUACGUUUACGCAGCCACAUGUCCCUCAAAGUCAGGUGAAACUCAGGAGUAUCGAAAUACUGGUCGUGAAUCUGCUGUU